GUUCUUUCUCCUUCUCUACCAUCUGUUUUUCCUAACUCCUACAACCCUACCUCCUCUUUUUUUUUUUUGUAGAGUUCUUUAGAUGCUUCAGGUCAUAGUGGUGGUGGAGGCGGUGAAUGUGAUGGCAGUAGAGACCAAAGCGGCGACUGCGGCUGCGGCUGGGAAAGAAAGCAUGGGCAAUGACAGUGGAGAUCGAGGUGGCGGCGAAAGCAAUAGCAAGUCUCACCCUCUUAGAGACCAAUACUAAAGAACCACACGAGGUGGAGCUCUUGGGGGAGUAGCCGUGGAGCUCGGAUUCAACGUCGACAUCGCGCCGCGGAGCCGUUCGAGGAUACGGUUGCAGUCGUAGCAUCGCGAGGAGUCCGGGCGAGGGCGUGGUUUCGCCGUUCUCGACGUCGCACGCGUUGGAUUUAGCAUACGAGAGCCUUCUGUUCCGGCGGCUGCAGUUUCUGAGAUCGAUCGAGGGAAGGGUGUCGCGAGUUAGAGCCCUACCUGACGAGUCGCCGUGCUAGAGGAUCCCCAGCUGCAGGUAGUAGAGUUUUAUUUUUCGAUAUUAUGUACAUACUGAUACUGAACUCGCUGGAGCGAGUGGUUUGUACUUUGUAUAGUAUGUAUACAUUUGAGAUGCUUUCUUUUUGGUUCU